rnacentral:rRNA from 1 species
UACAGAGGUCCCGAGCGUUGUUCGGAUUCAUUGGGCGUAAAGGGUGCGUAGGUGGCGCCGUAAGUGGGGUGUGAAAUCCCGGGGCUUAACCCCGGGACUGCAUUCCAUACUGCGGUGCUUGAGGACUGGAGAGGAGACUGGAAUUUACGGUGUAGCAGUGAAAUGCGUAGAGAUCGUAAGGAAGACCAGUGGCGAAGGCGGGUCUCUGGACAGUUCCUGACACUGAGGCGCGAAGGCCAGGGGAGCAAACGGG